GGGGGCGAAUUGGAUUCGACCGGGUAGUUGGAGGUGAGGGUGGCGUGCCGUGGUUGAUCAGCAGGCCACGUUAAAAGCUGAUCAAACAAACUUAGUUGCAGAUGCAAAUCUCGCAAUGGCAGCCUAAAUAACGGUUGCCCUGGCUGAGGGGGUCCGCCGGAGACGCCCGAAAGCCAGUCGCCAAUUCCGGAUCGUUUCCCACCGCGCGAGGCACGUGGGAAACUAAACAUUGCUCCUCGCUGGCUUGACAAGCAGCCUUGCUGAUAGGCGGCUUGGCAAGUGAGAUUUAAAUCAUCAGCUACGCACGUAGAGGCUCUCACCGAGAUGCCGCGGGACGCGGGUUCGAUUCCCGCCGCCUCCACUC
rnacentral:tmRNA from 1 species